CACCGCGGUUAGACGUGAGGCCCAAGCAGAUGAGCCUACGGCGUAAAGUGUGGCCAAGAAAUCACCCGAUAACUAAAGAAAAACGCCCUCCACGCUGUGAUACGUUCCUGAGGUCAUAGAACUACAACGACGAAAGUAACUUUAUUUUUCCCACCCACGAAAGCUCUGAUA
rnacentral:rRNA from 1 species